UACGGAGGGACUAGCGUUGUUCGGAAUUACUGGGCGUAAAGCGCACGUAGGCGGCGACUCAAGUCAGAGGUGAAAGUCCGGAGCUCAACUCCGGAUCUGCCGUGCCGACUGUCAAACUCGAGGGCGAUAGAGGCCAGACGGAAUUCCGGGUGUAGCGGUGGAAUGCGUGAGAGAUCCGGAGGAAGAACCGGGUGGCGAAGGCGGUCUGCUGGGCAGUUUCUGGACACUGAGGCGCUGACGAGCGUGGGGAGCAACAGGAUAGAUAC
rnacentral:rRNA from 1 species